CGGGGUGAGUAAUGUAUGGGGAUCUGCCUGAUGGCGGGGGAUAACUACUGGAAACGGUAGCUAAUACCGCAUAAUGUCUACGGACCAAAGCGGGGGACCUCCGGGCCUCGCGCCAUCAGAUGAACCCAUAUGGGAUUAGCUAGUAGGUGAGGUAACGGCUUACCUAGGCGACGAUCCCUAGCUGGUCUGAGAGGAUGAUCAGCCACACUGGGACUGAGACACGGCCCAG
rnacentral:rRNA from 1 species